UUGCCAUGACAACUGUUUCCAAGAGCGAGGCAGAGGCUCAGCGAGAUGCAGAAGAUGAAGCGUUCAGAGGGCAGGGUUCACAGAUCACACAGAUUGAUGUUGCAUCUUCAAGACAUUGGACUUGCAUCUAAUGAAAUGGAAGCGCAAUUAAUGGCAACAUGAACGAUGUCCUACUUUUUGCCUCCGAUUUGGUGCAGAAGAGGGAA
rnacentral:lncRNA from 1 species